rnacentral:rRNA from 1 species
GAUCAGGCUCAGGAUGAACGCUAGCGACAGGCUUAACACAUGCAAGUCGAGGGGCAGCACAGGUAGCAAUACCGGGUGGCGACCGGCGCACGGGUGAGUAACGCGUAUGCAACUUGCCUAUCAGAGGGGGAUAACCCGGCGAAAGUCGGACUAAUACCGCAUGAAGCAGGGGCCCCGCAUGGGGAUAUUUGCUAAAGAUUCAUCGCUGAUAGAUAGGCAUGCGUUCCAUUAGG